rnacentral:rRNA from 1 species
CCUACGGGAGGCAGCAGUGGGGGAUAUUGCACAAUGGGGGGAACCCUGAUGCAGCGACGCCGCGUGGGUGAAGAAGCGCCUCGGCGCGUAAAGCCCUGUCAGCAGGGAAGAAAAUGACGGUACCUGAAGACGAAGCCCCGGCUAACUACGUGCCAGCAGCCGCGGUCAUACGUAGGGGGCACGCGGUAUCCGGAUUUACUGGGGGUAAAGGGGGCGUAGACGGGGAUGCAAGCCAGGUGUGAAAGCCCGGGGCCCAACCCCGGGACCGCUCUUGAAACUGCGGGGCUGGAGUGGAGGAGGGGUAGGCGGAAUGCCUGGUGUAGCGGUGAAAUGCGUAGAUAUCAGGAAGAACACCGGUGGCGAAGGCGGCCUACUGGACUGCAACUGACGUUGAGGCCCGAAAGCGUGGGGAGCGAACAGGAUUAGAUACCCGUGUAGUC